UUAAUUCUGACUUCGAUCUCCGCUUCUCGAUCCACUGGCUCUCUGGCUGACCUUUCUGGCAUAGCUUUAAGAGGAGGCUGGUCAUGAAACCAUGGCAGAUACCAAUAGUCUACCUCGCCCUUGUCGCGGUCUUCCACCAUGUGAUCAAAACUCGAAAGUACACAUCCUCCCCAAAUCUUAAGUAUCUCAGUCUUCCUUAGAGGGAUGUUAGGGAGGAAUUCGUACAUGAACUCU
rnacentral:lncRNA from 1 species